AUUGAACGCUGGCGGCAUGCUUUACACAUGCAAGUCGAACGGUAACAGGCCGCAAGGUGCUGACGAGUGGCGAACGGGUGAGUAAUGCAUCGGAACGUGCCCAGUCGUGGGGGAUAACGCAGCGAAAGCUGUGCUAAUACCGCAUACGAUCUAUGGCUGAAAGCGGGGGACCGUAAGGCCUCGCGCGAUUGGAGCGGCCGAUGUCAGAUUAGCUAGUUGGUGGGGUAAAGGCCCACCAAGGCGACGAUCUGUAGCUGGUCUGAGAGGACGACCAGCCACACUGGGACUGAGACACGGCCCAGACUCCUACGGGAGGCAGCAGUGGGGAAUUUUGGACAAUGGGCGCAAGCCUGAUCCAGCAAUGCCGCGUGCAGGAAGAAGGCCUUCGGGUUGUAAACUGCUUUUGUACGGAACGAAACGGUCUGGGUUAAUACCCUGGGCUAAUGACGGUACCGUAAGAAUAAGCACCGGCUAACUACGUGCCAGCCGCCGCAGUAAAAC
rnacentral:rRNA from 1 species